GCCAAGAGUAAACGGUGUGUAGA
rnacentral:piRNA from 1 species